GACGAACGCUGGCGGCGUGCUUAACACAUGCAAGUCGAACGGAAAGGCCCUGCUUUUGUGGGGUGCUCGAGUGGCGAACGGGUGAGUAACACGUGAGUAACCUGCCCUUGACUUUGGGAUAACUUCAGGUAACUGGGGCUAAUACCGGAUAGGAGCUCCUGCUGCAUGGUGGGGGUUGGAAAGUUUCGGCGGUUGGGGACGGACUCGCGGCUUAUCAGCUUGUUGGUGGGGUAGUGGCUUACCAAGGCUUUGACGGGUAGCCGGCCUGAGAGGGGGACCGGCCACAUUGGGACUGGGUUACGGCCCGGACUCCUACGGGAGGCAGCAGUGGGGAAUAUUGCACAAGGGGCGGAGGCCGGAGCCAGCAACGCCGCGGGGGGAAUGACGGCCUUCGGGUGGUAAACCGCUUUAGCCGGUGACGAAGCGUGAGUGACGGUAAUGGGAAAAGAAGCACCGGCUAACUACGUG
rnacentral:rRNA from 1 species